rnacentral:rRNA from 1 species
CCUACGGGGGGCAGCAGUGAGGAAUAUUGGUCAAUGGCCGUAAGGCUGAACCAGCCAAGUAGCGUGAGGGAAGACUGCCCUAUGGGUUGUAAACCUCUUUUAUGCGGGGAUAAAGGUGUCCACGUGUGGAUGUUUGCAGGUACCGCAUGAAUAAGGACCGGCUAAUUCCGGGCCAGCAGCCGCGGUAAUACGGAAGGUCCGGGCGUUAUCCGGAUUUAUUGGGUUUAAAGGGAGCGUAGGCCGGUCUUUAAGCGUGCCGUGAAAUUUUGUGGCUCAACCGUGGGAGUGCGGCGCGAACUGGAUACCUUGAGUGCGCAGAAGGACAGCGGAAUUCCAGGUGUAGCGGUGGAAUGCUUAGAUAUCACGAAGAACCCCGGUUGCGAAGGCAGCCUGCCGCAGCGCUACUGACGCUGAAGCUCGAAAGCGCGGGUAUCGAACAGGAUUAGAUACCCCGGUAGUC